rnacentral:rRNA from 1 species
AACGAACGCUGGCGGCAGGCUUAACACAUGCAAGUCGAGCGCCCCGCAAGGGGAGCGGCAGACGGGUGAGUAACGCGUGGGAAUCUACCCAUCUCUACGGAAUAACGCAUGGAAACGUGUGCUAAUACCGUAUACGUCCUUCGGGAGAAAGAUUUAUCGGAGAUGGAUGAGCCCGCGUUGGAUUAGCUAGUUGGUGGGGUAAAGGCCUACCAAGGCGACGAUCCAUAGCUGGUCUGAGGGGAUGAUCAGCCACACUGGGACUGAGACACGGCCCAGACUCCGGCGGGAGGAGGCAGUGGGGAAUCUUGGACAAUGGGCGCAAGCCUGAUCCAUCCAUGCCGCGUGAUUGAUGAAGGCCCUAGGGUUGUAAAGCUCUUUCACCGGUGAAGAUAAUGACGGUAACCGGAGAAGAAGCCCCGGCUAACUUCGUGCCAGCCGCCGCGGUAAGAC